AUGAACGCUGGCGGCGUGCCUAAUACAUGCAAGUCGAGCGAACAGACGAGGAGCUUGCUCCUCUGACGUUAGCGGCGGACGGGUGAGUAACACGUGGAUAACCUACCUAUAAGACUGGGAUAACUUCGGGAAACCGGAGCUAAUACCGGAUAAUAUAUUGAACCGCAUGGUUCAAUAGUGAAAGACGGUUUUGCUGUCACUUAUAGAUGGAUCCGCGCCGCAUUAGCUAGUUGGUAAGGUAGCGGCUUACCAAGGCAACGAUGCGUAGCCGACCUGAGAGGGUGAUCGGCCACACUGGAACUGAGACACGGUCCAGACUCCUACGGGAGGCAGCAGUAGGGAAUCUUCCGCAAUGGGCGAAAGCCUGACGGAGCAACGCCGCGUGAGUGAUGAAGGUCUUCGGAUCGUAAAACUCUGUUAUUAGGGAAGAACAAAUGUGUAAGUAACUAUGCACGUCUUGACGGUACCUAAUCAGAAAGCCACGGCUAACUACGUG
rnacentral:rRNA from 1 species